rnacentral:rRNA from 1 species
GAUAAACGCUGGCGGCGUGCAUAACACAUGCAAGUCGAACGAAGUUGCGAACGGGUGAGUAACACGUGAGUAACCUGCCUUACACAAGGGGAUAGCCUUGGGAAACGAAGAAUACUACCCUAUAGUGAAAGAUGGACUUGCGUCUGAUUCGCUAGUUGGUGAGAUAAAGGCCCACCAAGGCAACGAUCAGUAGCCGGCUUGAGAGAGUGGACGGCAACAUUGGGACUGAGACACGGCCCAAACUCUACGGGUGGCAGCAGGGGGGAAUUUGGCACAAUGGGGGAACUCUGAUGCCGCGACGCCGGGAAACGAAGAAGGCUGUCGAGUCGUAAAGUUCUUUUAUAUGGGAAGCGUUACCAUCAGAAAAAGCCCCGGCUAACUACGUGCCAGCAGCCGCGGUAAUAC